AAGGGAGCCCUCUGCUCCACUGUCCCUCACUGUUCCCUGAGUACCAUGUACACCCCUCCCCCCUCCAUGCCCUUGCCCAUCUGAUGUGUUCUCUCCCGUCUGCCUGGCUCCAAUCUUGCACCUGAGGGCCACCAAUCGCUGACGCCCUUUGGACACCUUGAAACACUUCUUGUAUUGUCUCGGUGGGGGGAUUGCAGACUUCAAGUCACAUUACAAAGCUUCAGUGACAAAAAUAAAAUGAUACUGGCACAAAAACAGUCAUGUGCAUUAAUGAGAUGGAACAGAAGAUGCAGAAACAACCCCAGGCACACUUAGCCAUCGAAUCCCUGACAAAGCGGCCAAAAAUACACUGGAGGAAAGACAGCCUCUCCAACAAACGGUGCCAGCAACCCAAGUCAUCACUAUAUAAACCUACAUUCCUGACCUUGCAACCAGCUUGGACACUGGCCUGGUGGGAACUAGGGCAACACCUUUCUGGGACAAGAGGAAGGUUGAGGCUAGAGAUACAGA
ensembl:lncRNA